rnacentral:rRNA from 1 species
GUGAACGCUGGCGGUAGGCCUAACACAUGCAAGUCGAACGGCAGCACAGUAAGAGCUUGCUCUUACGGGUGGCGAGUGGCGGACGGGUGAGGAAUACAUCGGAAUCUACUUUUUCGUGGGGGAUAACGUAGGGAAACUUACGCUAAUACCGCAUACGACCUACGGGUGAAAGCAGGGGAUCUUCGGACCUUGCGCGAUUGAAUGAGCCGAUGUCGGAUUAGCUAGUUGGCGGGGUAAAGGCCCACCAAGGCGACGAUCCGUAGCUGGUCUGAGAGGAUGAUAGGCACCAGGGGAACUGAACAGCGGCCCAGCCCCCUAGGGGGGGCGGCGGGGGGAAAUUUUGGAAAAGGGGCGCAGCCCUGACCCGCCCUUACCGGGGGGGAAAAAAGGGCUUUGGGGUUGAAACCCCUUUUUUUGGGGAAAAAAAAGCAGGAGUUUAUUCCCCCGCUGUUCGGCCGUUCCCCAAAAAAAAAACCCCGGCUAACUUCGUG